CAGUAGCCGCGGUAAUACGAAGGGUGCAAGCGUUACUCGGAAUUACUGGGCGUAAAGCGUGCGUAGGUGGUGGUUUAAGUCCGUUGUGAAAGCCCUGGGCUCAACCUGGGAAUUGCAGUGGAUACUGGAUCACUAGAGUGUGGUAGAGGAUAGUGGAAUUUCCGGUGUAGCAGUGAAAUGCGUAGAGAUGUGGAGGAAUACCGAUGGCGAAGGCAGCCCCCUGGGCCAAUACUGACGCUCAUGCACGAAAGCGUGGGGAGCAAACAGGAUUAGAUACCCCGGUAGUCCCUGUCUCUUAUAC
rnacentral:rRNA from 1 species